rnacentral:rRNA from 1 species
GCUUUACUGUAGCCUGGAAUUGGGUUCGGGCUUUGACUGCGCAGGAUAGGUGGGAGGCUAUGAAGUUGCUCUUGUGGGAGCAAUGGAGCCGUCAGUGAGAUACCACUCUGUUAAGGCUAGAAUUCUAACCUUUAUCCGUGACCCGGAGAGGGAACAGUUUCAGGUGGGCAGUUUGACUGGGGCGGUCGCCUCCUAAAUGGUAACGGAGGCGCGCAAAGGUUCUCUCAGGCUGGUUGGAAAUCAGCCGUAGAGUGUAAAAGCACAAGAGAGCUUGACUGUGAGAGAAACACCUCGAGCAGGGACGAAAGUCGGCUUUAGUGAUCCGACGGCUGAGCGUGGAAUCGCCGUCGCUAAACGGAUAAAAGUUACUCUAGGG